rnacentral:rRNA from 1 species
GAACAGAAGAUCUAACCAAUACAGUUCAGUCUUAGCACUACAUAUUAAUAAUGUAACAUAUAUUGUGUAUAUAGUAUUGGUUAGGGGUGAAAGGCCUCCAAUUCUUUAAUAUCUGGAUUUAUAUAAAAUAUAUUUAGUAUAAGAUGAUUUCUCAAAUUAAAAAUGUUAAGGUUUUUAAUAUGAUUAAAUUUUUUUAGAUAAGUUUUGAUAAGUGAUAACCCUCCUAUAAAACUUAAAUUAACUAUUUAAUUAAAAUUGAUUAAUUCUAUUAAUGUAAAAACCUUAUGUAAUAAAUCAAUGGUUAUAUAAUGUUUAAAUAAGUAAUUUAAAGUAAUUUAGUAAAAGGAACUCGGCAAACAGUCUUAUCGUCUGUUUAACAAAAACAUAGCUUGACGUCUAUCUUUAUGUUAGGUUAUUUCUGCCCGGUGAAAAUUUUAACGGCCGCAGUACCCUGACUGUGCUAAGGUAGCAUAAUAAAUUGGCUUUUAAAUGGAGUCUAGUAUCAACGGAAUGUCGGGUAAUUACUGUCUCUUUCUAAUUCUCUCUAAAUUGAUUAAAAGGUGAAAAUACCUUUAUUAUACUUUAUAGACAAGAAGACCCUAAGAAUUUUCAUAAUAUAAGUAAUCGAUUAUUUAAUAAUUUUUGUUGGGGCGACAAAGUAACAUGGAACUUACUUAACUAUUUAAUACAUGUCAGUAAUUUAUGGAAAGAUAAAAUUACCUUAGGGAUAACAGCAUAAUAAAUAUUUUGAUUGUGACCUCGAUGUUGGAUUAGGGAAAAUAAGAACUAGUCGUUGUUAUUUAUGGUUCUGUUCGAACUUCAAUGAAACCUACAUGAUCUGAGUUCAGACCGGCGUAAGCCAGGUCAG